rnacentral:rRNA from 1 species
GACGAACGCUGGCGGCGUGCUUAACACAUGCAAGUCGAACGCUGAAGCUCAGCUUUUGUUGGGUGGAUGAGUGGCGAACGGGUGAGUAACACGUGAGUAACCUGCCUCCUUCUUUGGGAUAACGCCCGGAAACGGGUGCUAAUACUGGAUAUUCACUGGUCUUCGCAUGGGGGUUGGUGGAAAGGGUUUUUCUGGUGGGGGAUGGGCUCGCGGCCUAUCAGCUUGUUGGUGGGGUGAUGGCCUACCAAGGCUUUGACGGGUAGCCGGCCUGAGGGGGUGACCGGUAACAUUGGGACUGAGAUCCGGCCCAGACUCCUACGGGAGGCAGAAGUGGGGAAUAUUGCACAAUGGGCGCAAGCCUGAUGCAGCGACGCCGCGUGAGGGAUGGAGGCCGUCGGGUUGUGAACCUCUUUCGCUAAUGGUCAAGCCGCAACAAUGGUUGUGGUGAGGGUAGUGGGUAAAGAAGCGCCGGCUAACUACGUG